UUUUUUUAUUUCGCUUCGACCGAUCCGGCACUAAAUUAUUGUAUCUCUUGCUUAUAAAAUUAAUUUAAUGUCGGAAACGUAUAUUUCUACUCGACAAAACUGUUUAUUUUAAACUUAAAUUCAUUGAAACUCUCACAUUUGAUUUACAAAAUCUCUCCCUGCUUUGUUUUUUCUCUCAUCCCUGAGCCCCCGAUCCUAGCGCCCGCGGGCUCUUCUGUUCUCAAUACUUUAUACAAGUCUUAAUAACUAUCUGUAAUGUCAAUAAUGUCUAAAAUUAUCUGCAUUAAAGAGUUUAUGAAACGCAUGUCUAUUAUCCUAGAUACACAGAUGACAAUGAAAAUAAUAUUAAAAAUUGUGAAAUACUGAACUAAACAAAAUAAACUAAUCUAAGUU